UUCAACUCCAAUCCUUUAAGUUCCUUCAUGAAAAAUGGUCUACACAUCACAAGGAAGAUAUUGAUACCAAUUUUGAGAAGUUUGGUGAAGGUUUAGCAAGUUACAAUUAAAGUUACUAAAGACUCAGGAAAAGAGAAGGAAACACUGAGUCCAGACCAGGGGGACAGUCAUCAGAGGUAGAGAGACAGACAGGGCAGCAGACUAGGCUGCAUAUACCUCCAGCGAGAGAUUUUU